UUAUUAUCACUGCACGUCGGGAUCAGCUGAUAUGAAACUUUAUUUCACACAUUUAUAUAUGGAUGAACAUCGAAAAAAAUAUUUAAAUGACGAAAUCAGUGAGUGUAACGUUAUAAAUAAGAAUGUUUGGCUGUAGAUGUACCAUAUUUUGUCCACAUCGUCGAUCUUUUUGCUGCAAAUAAAAGCGAAACUAAUCUCAAGGGCGACAAUAAACAAACAGUGAAGAGACAGAGACAUUCAGAGGUCCUGAUGACCUCUAUACUGUCAGCAGCAGAGUGACUGUGGAGAAGAGACACAGCAACAAGUUCACCUGCAGAGUCCAGCAGAACAACAUCAACCAGAGCAGAGAGACAUGGAUUCAUGUUCCAGAUGAUUUUGUCACAGUUGCUGCCACCAUCGGUUUGAUUGCUGGCAUCAUGUUUAUUGUUGCAGUCGUCGUCUUUGUGUGGAAAUGGAGACAAAUCAAACUGAAGAAGAAGAAGCACCACGGCGAUGAAGAAAAAGUGAAAACUAGAGAGAAGACGAACAGCUCUGGAGAAAUGAUGCUUUAACAGAGUCUCUGAUUGAAAGAGAAGCAGCAGAAAAUGUGAAAAUGCAGAGAAAUCCCUUGAGUGAAACAACAGGAUCUGACAUUCAGACAGAAGAUGAAACACACCAGAGUCAAACUAGUAAUCAUCUGAUUCAAACACAAGAAGAGACGGAGACACAACAUGGUCCUGGAGGAGCAGAACUACAGGCUUUAGUGGAUAGACAAAGACAAACAUACCAACCUCUGGAGACCAUGAGUGAUUCAGAUAAAGAUCAAGAAGACACAGCAACCAGUGAAAAUAGUCCAGUAGAAAGAGAUGUGAACAAUGGAGGUGAUAAGACUGAAGCUGUAAGAGAAAACACAAACAGUGAAAUGGAUGAAGAAACAAAACAAGAGCAGCUGAUAGAAGUAAAAAAUACAGAAAAUAAUCUACAGGCAGAAGAAGAAAAGAAUCUGCAGGAAGUUCAGCCUUGUCUGGACAAAGAGAUGGAAAAACUGAAGUCAAAGCUGCAGCCUAAAGAACAAGAUGAGAGACAAUAUGAAAAACGAGUUACGAGACUGAUGGGAAACAAGACAGAACAAGAGAAGCAGAUUAAAGAUCUCAAAGAGCAGCUGGAAGAAGUGGAGAGAAAACUUCAGUCAAAGAAUGAAAAUGAAGAAACACAGAUAGAAGAAGAUGAGAAAGAUCUGCAGAGGAAGAAAGAAGAACUUCAGAAACAGCUGAAGAGACUAGAGACGGCUCUGGAAAGAUCUAAUAAAGUAGUGGAUACUAUGACACAGAGGAAAAUGAAAGCAACUAAAGAAAAAGAGGAGACUAUUAGAAAAUUAGAGAUGAAGAACAGGAAUGAAAAUCAGAGUGAGUCAGACGAAGAUCUUGGAUGAUGAUGAAACUCAAGUUAAGAUGGAGGGAAACAGGGUUGAUUGGUGUGAACGGGAUUUUUCUUGAUGACUAAUUUUACGUCACUCAAAUAGGAAAGUUGGAUUACUUUUUUUUUUACAUUAUUCUUAAAACAAUUUUAACUUACAAGUCUUAAAUCUAACUUCAAAAUCAGUGAAAAGUUACAGAAAAAAUAUAUUUAAAAAAUUGGACGGCAGUUAGAGAAUCAGAGUGUCAGACGAUGAUUUUUAAUGAAGUGAUGAUGAUGAAACUCAAACUAAGAAGCAGGGAAACAGGGUUGAUUUUGGUGACAGAUUUUGUGUCAAACUGCUUUUUUUUACAUUCUUGGUUAAAUCUUUUUAUUUACUGCACUGCGGGAAAAAAAUGUCAAAAAUGUGAAAAUCUGGUAGCAAUGUUGAAAGAAAAACUAUGUCAAAACUGUUCAAAAUUGUGAAAUUAACAGCAACUAUCCGUAAAAUAAUGUUAUUUUAAUUUUUUGCAUAUUUCAAUACAAUGAAACUGUAAUUUUAUAGUUGCAAUAUACAUUGUGAAAGAUUGAAUCACUAUUUGUACAAAUACUGCUUUUUAUUUUUGACACUGGUUCCAGUUUUGGUCUUUUUUUCCCAUGAAGAUUUAUUUCUUCAUGUUUUAGAAGAGUUUCUCUGCUGGUAUUGAUAGUUAAUAUGUUGUCUGAUUCCAUUUUUAUUGCACAGUUUUUGUGCAAUAAGGUUGUUUUUUAUUCCUUUCAAUCACAGAGCUGCUGUUUUAUUCCACAUUAAAGUUCAUUCUUGACUGUGGGAGUCUACACCAGUCCAGCUUUGCUGAGUUUCUGUAUAUUA